AACGAACGCUGGCGGCGUGCCUAACACAUGCAAGUCGCGCGAGAAAAGGGGGCAACUCCUGAGUAAAGCGGCGAACGGGUGAGUAACACGUAGGUGAUCUACCCUCGAGUCCAGGAUAACCUACCGAAAGGUGGGCUAAUACCGGAUAUGACCACGGGAAUCUCGGUUCCUGCGGUGAAAGGUGGCCUCUGCUUGCAAGCUACCGCUCGGAGAUGAGCCUGCGCGCCAUUAGCUAGUUGGUGGGGUAACGGCCCACCAAGGCUAUGAUGGCUAGCUGGUCUGAGAGGAUGUCCGGCCACACUGGGACUGAGAUACGGCCCAGACUCCUACGGGAGGCAGCAGUAGGGAAUAUUGCGCAAUGGCCGCAAGGCUGACGCAGCAACACGCGUGGGGAUGAAGGUUUUCGGAUCGUAAACCCCUGUCGAGAGGAAGAAGGUCGAAACGCGAAUACCGUUUUGGCUUGACGGUACCUUUAGAGGAAGUUCCGGCUAACUUCGUGCCAGCCGCCGCGGUAA
rnacentral:rRNA from 1 species